rnacentral:rRNA from 1 species
GACGCACGCUGGCGGCGUGCCUAUACAUGCACGUAGACGCUGAAGGAGGAGCUUGCUCUCUGGAUGAGUUGCGGACGGGUGAGUGACGCGUAGGUGACCUGCCUGGUAGCGGGGGAUGACUAUUGGAGACGAUAGCUAUACCGCAUGACAGUAGAUGUCGCAUGACAUUUGCUUAAAAGGUGCGAUUGCAUCACUACAGAUGGAACCUGGCGUUGUAUUAGCUAGUUGGUGAGGUAACGGCUCACCAAGGCAACGAUACAUAGCCGACCUGAGAGGGUGAUCGGCCACACUGGGACUGAGACACGGCCCAGACUCCUACGGGAGGCAGCAGUAGGGAAUCUUCGGCAAUGGACGGAAGUCUGACCGAGCAACGCCGCGUGAGUGAAGAAGGUUUUCGGAUCGUAAAGCUCUGUUGUAAGUAGAAGAACGAGUGUGAGAGUGGAAAGUUCACACUGUGACGGUAUCUUACCAGAAAGGGA